rnacentral:rRNA from 1 species
GCUAAGAAUAUUCCGCAAUGGACGAAAGUCUGACGGAGCGACGCCGCGUGGAUGAAGAAGGCCGAAAGGUUGUAAAAUCCUUUUGUUGGGGAAGAAUAAGCGUGGGAGGGAAUGCCCGCGUGAUGACAUGAACCGACGAAUAAGUCCCGGCUAACUACGUGCCAGCAGCCGCGGUAACACGUAGGGGACAAGCGUUAUUCGGAAUUACUGGGCGUAAAGGGCAUGUAGGCGGCCUGAUAAGCCUGGCGUGAAAGUCACCGGCUCAACCGGUGGAUUGCGUCGGGAACUGUUGGGCUUGAGUCAUGGAGAGGAAGGCAGAAUUCCUGGUGUAGGGGUGAAAUCUGUAGAGAUCAGGAAGAAUACCAGUGGCGAAGGCGGCCUUCUGGCCAAUGACUGACGCUGAGGUGCGAAAGUGUGGGGAUCAAACAGGAUUAGAUACCCGAGUAGUCC